UUUUAAAUCUGCCUUCGCUUUGCCGAAGUCCAUGACCCUAGCUCUCCACACGACUGAAGCAAGGCACCCAAGGGCAUUGUGGUCCAAGUAUCGUCCUGUUGUUUGAGUGCAGUUUCUGGUAGCACCCCCCCCCCCCCCCGUCCUCCCUCAACCAAGUCUGGGGCCUUCACUGAGAUCCCUGGUCCUGGAGAUUUUCGCCAACACACGGAGGGAGGCCGUUCGUCCCAUCAUGUUGUGCCAGCCCUCCAGGGAUGCUCCACGCUCUGAUGACCAUUUACCGCCAGCACGGUGUCACUGGACUGUGGCGUGGGUCAAGUUCAGCAGUGCCCAGGGUGAUAGUUGGCUCUUCCUCCCAGCUCUCCACCUUCUCCACCGUGAAACAGUUUACCAAUGACCUACAGGUCUUUCAGCCGGGAAGCUGGCUGGUAUCACUGACAGCGGGGAUGGUCAGCAGCAUCUUCGUUGUCCUUGCCAUGACACCCUUCGAUGUAAUUAGUACCAGGCUCUACAACCAACCAGUGGACCAGAAAGGGAAGGUACUGUCAUGACCAAAC